rnacentral:rRNA from 1 species
CAAAUGACUCUCGGCAACGGAUAUCUCGGCUCACGCAUCGAUGAAGAACGUAGCAAAAUGCGAUACUUGGUGUGAAUUGCAGAAUCCCGUGAACCAUCGAGUUUUUGAACGCAAGUUGCGCCCGAAGCCAUCUGGCCAAGGCACGUCUGCCUGGGCGUCACG